AUGAUUUCAAAGUAUAAUUGAUUAUACAUGUUAGUACUUAUCUUUUGACAAACUAAAUGACUAUCUAUGGUUUAAACACUGAUUUUUCAAAGAUUAUGAAAUUAAUUGUUGGAAUAGUACUUAUUUUUGUUCACCAGACCGGUUGGUAGUAUGAUAUAGCGCUAUAGGAUUUGACACCCCAUUCCUGUUGUCAUGGAAUGUCUGAAACCAAUUUGUUGCUCCAUCCAAAUAGGGAUUGCCUUUGUGGUAUUUCUAUAGUCUCAAAGGUGUAUUUUGAUACACUAGGUCGGAAUGAAUUCUUAAAUCACAUUAUUUUUGUAUAUUAAGUUAUACUCCCAAAAGUAUAGUUUGAUAUGCUCUCAUAUGGGAUAUUGUACAAAAACCAACAUAUAUUUUUGACGAGUCGUAGUUUCGGCCAAAAUGCGUUUUCUCGCGUAUUUUGUAACCAAACUACUCUAGCGUAUUAA
rnacentral:lncRNA from 1 species